rnacentral:misc_RNA from 1 species
ACUUAGGUGGAUCCAUGGGCUAGCGCAGCGUGUUAUACCCUGAGAGCAGAGCCAGAAGAUGUCAAACCUAUGUAGAUGGACUACCCCAUAUAAUACCAAGAGAUAACUAGGCCUCAACAGGUUCAGUCCAAUUGCACUUGAGGGGAGCAUUGAAAUGUGGCUUGUCCCACGGUAGAAAAAGAAGAAAAAUUGAGGAUCAUAUAAAGUUCAAGGCUACCAAAACAAAAUGGCUUAAGCCAUAUUGGUAGAGGUGUGUCAAUCAGACCAAUUGCAAUAGUCGACCCGUUUUGUGCUCCAACUCAUCGGGCCCGAUAAUCCCAACAUGGUAAUGGGUCCAUUUUAUAAUUUUUUUGAAGUAAAAGACAAUUAUUAAGCUCUUAUACUCUGACUCUUCAUUUUGCCUUGCCAUACCCGUGUCGACGCGACCCAAUAUGACAUAGGACACAACAUGGAAUAUGUGUCUGACACAUAUUCAUGCAGUCGGACACUCGAGUGACAGAGUUCUCUCAAUAUGAAAAGCAUAUUGAAUCAAAGGAUAGGUUAAAAAAAAAGUUAAAAAGAGAAUACAACUUUGAAUUAAAGGAUGGGUACAAAACAAGUUAAUGAAUAUUGAAUAUUUCGAGAAUCCA